ACAUGUGAGGGCAGUCUGGCUGUGACAUAUGUCACUCCAUUGAUCACCAGGGUUGAUUGAGCUGAUCUGGCUGGCUAGCUGGGUGUCCCUUCCUCCAUCUCUUCUCCAUAUGCAUCUCUCUUGAGAUGUCUAAAAGGAUAACUUUACCAGAAUAGAGGAGGGCGGGCCUUCUGCCAGGGUUAUAGGAGUAGCUGUGCUCCCCUGCUAGAACUUCCAAACAAGCUCUCAAAUCAAUACUCAAUCAGUAUAUGGUAAAAUUAGCAUACCUUCGAAUAUGACACAAUUAUAUUGUCAGUAAACCAGUUAUUCAGUGCAAU
rnacentral:snRNA from 1 species